GCCCUUUCGCUCCGGGGCGGAGCGCACUAUAUUCGAUCCGUCUUCGCAAGAAGACUAUGGCGAUAAACAGGCUUCGUAAUAAACCAUCCGGACCCGGGGGCGGUACCCGGCGCCUCCACCCCAGCCCAGACCUCGCAUUUUUGCGGAUCUGGGUUGCGGCGGGGGCGAAACAGGAUCGACGGGGGCGUAAAGGAAGAUCUUUUGCCCGGCAUGAUACCGCCGUUAUCGGGUCAAACCUAUAGUUGCCAACGACAACUAUGCUCCGGUGGCCGUCGCCGCGUAAUGCGGUGAAGGUACUGGGAAUCAAGCCCUAGGGGGUUAGCACCUUCUAGGCGGGGCUCGGAGGCGCCUGGCAACAGAAGCCUCCACU
rnacentral:tmRNA from 1 species